rnacentral:rRNA from 1 species
GAUGAACGCUAGCGGCAGGCUUAACACAUGCAAGUCGAGGGGUAUAGGUUUUCGGACCUAGAGACCGGCGCACGGGUGCGUAACGCGUAUGCAAUCUACCUUUCACAGAGGGAUAGCCCAGAGAAAUUUGGAUUAAUACCUCAUAGUAUAGCAGUUUCGCAUGAAACCACUAUUAAAGUAUCAACGGUGAAAGAUGAGCAUGCGUCCCAUUAGCUAGAUGGUAAGGUAACGGCUUACCAUGGCUACGAUGGGUAGGGGUCCUGAGAGGGAGAUCCCCCACACUGGUACUGAGACACGGACCAGACUCCUACGGGAGGCAGCAGUGAGGAAUAUUGGUCAAUGGACGCAAGUCUGAACCAGCCAUGCCGCGUGCAGGAUGACGGUCCUAUGGAUUGUAAACUGCUUUUGUACGAGAAGAAACAACAUUACGUGUAAUGUCUUGACGGUAUCGUAAGAAUAAGGAUCGGCUAACUCCGUGCCAGCAGCCGCCGUAAAAC